rnacentral:lncRNA from 1 species
AUUGCUCCUGGCAGACUCAGUAUAAGGACACCACCAAUUGAUGGGAGAAUGGGUGUUAUUUGUAGUUCAAGAGUAUUAUCAAGUGCUUAUCCAAGACAUGAAGGUGUUCCAACGUUAGUUACUUCUACUUCUAAUCAAUCCAUGAUCAAUGAAAGAAGGCUAUCAGCUCCUUUAUCAUGGAGUGAUUUUCAAUCACAACUAGCAAACAAUGGAAGCUAUUCACAUCAACGGUAAUGUGCAUACAAUAUACAGCAUGUAUGUACAUGUACAUAUGUACAUGUACUUUUACAAUAGUGGGAAUUAGUAGGUCAAUUUUAGCUACAGUGAAACCUUUAAUUUGAUAUAGGAAUGUCUUACUACCUCAGAUAUUAUAUUCUCUUCCUGCUAGCUAG